UACGUAGGGUGCAAGCGUUGUCCGGAAUUAUUGGGCGUAAAGAGCUCGUAGGCGGUCUGUCACGUCGGCUGUGAAAACCUGGGGCUCAACUCCGGGCCUGCAGCCGAUACGGGCAGACUAGAGUUCGGCAGGGGAGACUGGAAUUCCUGGUGUAGCGGUGGAAUGCGCAGAUAUCAGGAGGAACACCGGUGGCGAAGGCGGGUCCCUGGGCCGAAACUGACGCUGAGGAGCGAAAGCGUGGGGAGCAAACAGG
rnacentral:rRNA from 1 species